UCAGACAUGCAAGUCGAACGCGAAAGUUCCCUUCGGGGGGCGAGUAGAGUGGCGCACGGGUGAGUAACACGUAGGUAAUCUACCUUUGGAUGGGGAAUAACAAUCGGAAACGAUUGCUAAUAUCGCAUAAUGCAGCGGCACCUAAUGGUGACAGUUGUUAAAGCGGGGGAUCGAAAAACCUCGCGUCUAAAGAGGAGCCUGCGGCGGAUUAGCUAGUUGGUAAGGUAACGGCUUACCAAGGCAACGAUCCGUAGCCGGCCUGAGAGGGCGGUCGGCCACACUGACACUGACAUACGGGUCAGACUCCUACGGGAGGCAGCAGUCGGGAAUUUUGGGCAAUGGGCGAAAGCCUGACCCAGCAACGCCGCGUGAGGGAUGAAAUCCCUCGGGAUGUAAACUUCGCAAGAACGGGAAGAAUAAGUAGGGGACAAUACCCCCUAUGAUGACGGUACCGUUUGUAAGCUCCGGCUAACUCCGUGCCAGCAGCCGCGGUAAUACGGGGGGAGCAGGCGUUGUUCGGAUUUACUGGGCGUAAAGGGCGCGUAGGCGGCCAGCACAAGUCAGUUGUGAAAUCUCCGAGCUUAACUCGGAAAGGUCAACUGAUACUGUGCGACUAGAGUGCGGAAGGGGCAACUGGAAUUCUCGGUGUAGCGGUGAAAUGCGUAGAUAUCGAGAGGAACACCAGCGGCGAAGGCGGGUUGCUGGGCCGACACUGACGCUGAGGCGCGAAAGCCAGGGGA
rnacentral:rRNA from 1 species